AGCGAACGCUGGCGGCGUGGAUUAGGCAUGCAAGUCGAGCGGGAUCUUUAGGAUCUGAUCCUUCGGGUGACGAACCUAAAGUGAGAGCGGCGAACGGGUGAGUAAUGCUUAGGUAAUUUGCCCUUAAGUUCGGAAUAGCUAUUGGAAACGAUAGGUAAUGCCGGAUGUGGUAUUCUACUGCAUAGUAGAUGAUCUAAAAGGCGGGGAUUCUUCGGAACCUGUCGCUUAAGGAUAGGCCUAAGUCCUAUCAGCUUGUUGGUGAGGUAAAGGCUCACCAAGGCUAAGACGGGUAGCUGGUCUGAGAGGAUGGUCAGCCACACUGGGACUGAGACACUGCCCAGACUCCUACGGGAGCUGCAGUCGAGAAUCAUUCACAAUGCGCGAAAGCGUGAUGAUGC
rnacentral:rRNA from 1 species